AGCUGUAUGGGUGUCUCCCCCUGCAGGGGUCAGCUGGCCUGUGACUCAUGAGUUGGACUUGUUAGUUUUCUCGCUAUAUCCCCAGUAUGGAUGAUGUGAAGCCGAUCAGUUGUAUCAGAACCUGAUCAGUGAGCCCUAUAGAGGAGAGCCGGACAGCACAGCCCUCCCUGGCAUAAUGCUACAGGCACCUCGCUAUAUUGUGCCACCGAACAGCAGGCACGCAGAGCCCAUUGUUUCCCAGUUCUUUACAUGACGGAGGAAAGUACAUGACUGUCACUGACUGCAGCUGGAGGAAUAGCGCUGGAGAGCAGGGGCUGCCGGUACAAUGUACAGGGACAGCACAGCCAUCUCCACAUAAGAACUGCUCUGCACUGGUAUUUCUGCGAUCUGAUCACACAAGGAGGCUCCAAUGGGGAGGAUGCCCGCUGACAGCUGUCCUUUAUUCUGGAAAUGCUGAGGCGUCGGGAAAGCUGCGAUCAGAUUUCAGUCGCUGGAACGACAAACUGCAGCAGAUUACGGAUGAGAUUAGCGCGGGGACAGCACACACCUCAUGAUGACUUCUCCUGUUGACUUCUGUUUCCUUCUGAGACUUCUUUAUCCCUUCACUUCUGCUGACAUCUCUAGCCUCUAAAGCAGCACAAAUUCAUAUACCAAACUCUUAAAUAAAUGCAGACCUGCACCUCACCCUUGACUAGGUUACAAGAUGACUGCCACUGUUUCUUUUAUAAUGUAGGUGCCUGUGAUUGGACGCAGCGAUCAACUUUGAACGGCGCAUCUAAAGGGUUAAUAGCCCUGGGUACCGGCUACCGUUAGAUGCCAGGACUGGCACGAUAUGACGUGGGGUCACACGGUUAUAUCCCUGGAGCCGUCCA